CAGUAGCCGCGGUAAUACGAAGGGUGCAAGCGUUAAUCGGAAUUACUGGGCGUAAAGCGUGCGUAGGCGGUUUGUUAAGUCUGCUGUGAAAUCCCCGGGCUCAACCUGGGAAUGGCAGUGGAUACUGGCAAGCUAGAGUGUGUCAGAGGAUGGUGGAAUUCCCGGUGUAGCGGUGAAAUGCGUAGAGAUCGGGAGGAACAUCAGUGGCGAAAGCGGCCAUCUGGGACAACACUGACGCUGAGGCACGAAAGCGUGGGGAGCAAACAGGAUUAGAUACCCGCGUAGUCCCUGUCUCUUAUAC
rnacentral:rRNA from 1 species